UACGUAGGGUGCGAGCGUUAAUCGGAAUUACUGGGCGUAAAGCGUGCGCAGGCGGCUUUGCAAGACAGAUGUGAAAUCCCCGGGCUCAACCUGGGAACUGCAUUUGUGACUGCAAGGCUAGAGUACGGCAGAGGGGGAUGGAAUUCCGCGUGUAGCAGUGAAAUGCGUAGAUAUGCGGAGGAACACCAAUGGCGAAGGCAAUCCCCUGGGCCUGUACUGACGCUCAUGCACGAAAGCGUGGGGAGAAAACAGG
rnacentral:rRNA from 1 species